rnacentral:rRNA from 1 species
CCGUAGGUGAACCUGCGGAAGGAUCAUUACAAGUGAGGCUACCGAACGUUGGAAACAGCGGUUAGGAGCUUACACCCACCCGUGUUUACAUACUAUUGUUGCUUUGGCGGGCCGUGGCCUCCACUGCGGGCUCUGCUCGUGUGUGCCCGCCAGAGAACCAAACUCUGAAUGUUAGUGAUGUCUGAGUACUAUCUAAUAGUUAAAACUUUCAACAACGGAUCUCUUGGUUCUGGCAUCGAUGAAGAACGCAGCGAAAUGCGAUAAGUAAUGUGAAUUGCAGAAUUCAGUGAAUCAUCGAAUCUUUGAACGCACAUUGCGCCCUGUGGUAUUCCGCAGGGCAUGCCUGUUCGAGCGUCAUUUAACCACUCACGCCUAGCGUGGUAUUGGGGCACGCGGUCUCCGCGGCCCUCAAAAUUAGUGGCGGCGCCGGUGGGCUCUAAGCGUAGUACAUACUCCCGCUAUAGAGUCCCCCCGGUGGCUCGCCAGAACCCCCAAUUUUUACAGGUUGACCUCGGAUCAGGUAGGGAUACCCGCUGAACUUAAGCAUAUCAAUAAGCGGAGGAA